AUAAAACAGGUCCUGGAGUCCGUGGAAGAGCACUUGCCUACAAUGCACCAGGUCCUGGGUUCAAUUCGACACUACCAACCAACAACAGCAAAAACUAAAGGCUUCUCAGAUAGCUGCAGAAGUACAGAAAAUGCAGAGCAUGGCGAAGCUGAGCUGUAAUUCAGAAGCCAGGUUCAAGAAAGUGCCAGCAUAGAAUCUCUGAAAACCACUAGGAGCUCCUGGGAAGAAAAUUUCGCAGCUGAGAGCCAGGCCUUCAAAAGGGCUGUUUUCCCUAGAAAUUUCAGUGGGUGCAGAAAACCACAGUCACUGAUCACUCAGUGUCAGAGUGAACCAAAGGAGUCUUGCUUUCAAAAUGGAAAAGCCUUUGAAAAUGCCUUCUUCAAGCUAUGGUUUCCUUCUUAUGCCUGCAUGAGGAUAAUUCUUGAAAAGGAUGCAGCAGUUAAGUUUAGGACAAACUCUUUCCUCAAGAAUUGAGUCAAUGUAUCAAUGAUAAGAACACAUAAAGUUAUUGUUUAAAUUUU